AUUGAACGAGGGUGGAAUGCUUUACACAUGCAAGUCGAACGGUAGAGGGGGCAACCCCUUGAGAGUGGCGAACGGGUGAGUAAUAUAUCGGAACGUGACCAGUCGGGGGGGAUAACGUAGCGAAAGGUACGCUAAUACCGCAUACGAUCUAAGGAUGAAAGCGGGGGAUCGCAAGACCUCGCGCGACUGGAGCGGCCGAUAUCAGAUUAGGUAGUUGGUAGGGUAAAGGCCUACCAAGCCAACGAUCUGUAGCGGGUCUGAGAGGACGACCAGCCACACUGGAACUGAGACACGGUCCAGACUCCUACGGGAGGCAGCAGUGGGGAAUUUUGGACAAUGGGCGAAAGCCUGAUCCAGCCAUUCCGCGUGCAGGAUGAAGGCCCUCUGGUUGUAAACUGCUUUUGUACAGAACGAAAAGGUUUCUAUUAAUACUAGGAGCUCAUGACGGUACUGUAAGAAUAAGCACCGGCUAACUACGUG
rnacentral:rRNA from 1 species